CUUGUGGACUGUUAUAUCAAAUGAGAGUAGACUUUGCAUUUCAAUGUGUGGAGACAAAAUCAGACAGGGUGAAGCAAGAA
rnacentral:sRNA from 12 species